UACGGGGGGAGCAAGCGUUGUUCGGAUUUACUGGGCGUAAAGGGCGCGUAGGCGGUCAGCACAAGUCAGUUGUGAAAUCUCCGGGCUUAACUCGGAAAGGUCAACUGAUACUGUGCGACUAGAGUGCAGAAGGGGCAACUGGAAUUCUCGGUGUAGCGGUGAAAUGCGUAGAUAUCGGAAGGAACAUCAGUGGCGAAAGCGACUUCCUGGACCAGUACCGACGUUCAGGCACGAAGGCCAGGGGAGCAAACGGG
rnacentral:rRNA from 1 species